CCGUCUUGAAACACGGACCAAGGAGUCUAGCAUGCGCGCGAGUCAUUGGGAACUGAUAAACCCAGAGGCGAAAUGAAAGUGAACAGCGCCAUUUCGGUGGCCGCAGGGAAGAUGGCGGCCGGCACGCCCGUCCGCUCGCAUUCCCGAGGCGUUUCGAGAAAUGCCUCCGUUGCGAUUAUCGAGACGCACUGAGAGCGCGCACGCUGGGACCCGAAAGAUGGUGAACUAUGCCUGGUCAGGUCGAAGUCAGGGAA
rnacentral:rRNA from 1 species